rnacentral:snoRNA from 1 species
CGCCGGGUGGGUGAGUGGGCGGCGGGGGGGCCCCUUUCUUCCUCAGCCAGGCUGAGGCAAAGAUCAGAUUUGAGGAUCAUUUUUAAGCACUGCCAAUGUGCGGGAAACCUUGUUUUCCUACCCCAGACAUUU